ACGAGGGGUGCAAGCGUUGCUCGGAAUUAUUGGGCGUAAAGGGUAGGUAGGUGGUCUCGUUUGUCAGGGGUGAAAGCCUUGGGCUUAACCCAAGAAGUGCCCCUGAAACGGCGAGACUCGAGUCCUGGAGAGGGUCGUGGAAUUCCCAGUGUAGCGGUGAAAUGCGUAGAUAUUGGGAGGAACACCGGUGGCGAAGGCGGCCCUCUGGACCGGUACUGACGCUGAUGCGCGAAAGCGUGGGUAGCAAACGGGA
rnacentral:rRNA from 1 species